GUGCCAGCAGCCGCGGUAAUACGUAGGGGGCAAGCGUUGUUCGGAAUUACUGGGCGUAAAGGGCGUACAGGUGGCUUUGUAAGUCGGAUGUGAAAUCCUUGAGCUUAACUUGAGAACUGCAUUCGAUACUGCUUGGCUUGAGGUCAGGAGAGGAAAGCGGAAUAUGUGGUGUAGCGGUGAAAUGCGCAGAUAUCACAUAGAACACCGGUGGCGAAGGCGGCUUUCUGGCCUGAUUCUGACACUGACGCGCGAAAGCUAGGGGAGCGAACGGGAUUAGAUACCCCGGUAGUCCUAGCCGUAAACGAUGGGUACUAAGUGUAGGAGGUAUCGACCCCUCCUGUGCUGUAGCUAACGCAUUAAGUACCCCGCCUGGGGACUACGGUCGCAAGAUUAAAACUCAAAGUAAUUGACGGGGGCCCGCACAAGCGGUGGAGUAUGUCGCUUAAUUCGAAGCAACGCGAAGAACCUUAUCCAGUGGCUUGACAUUUUUCUGACAGCCGUGGAAACACGGUCUUCUCUUUUGAGACAGAUUAACAGGUGCUGCAUGGCAGUCGUCAGCUCGUGUCGUGAGAUGUUGGGUUAAGUCCCGCAACGAGCGCAACCCCUGUUCCUAGUUGCCAGCGGGUCAUGCCGGGAACUCUAGGAAGACUGCCGACGAUAAGUUGGAGGAAGGUGGGGAUGAUGUCAUGUCCUCAUGGCCCUUAUGCCCUGGGCUGCACACGUACUACAAUGGCCGGUACAGAGGGUCGUCAAACCGCGAGGUGGAACUAAUCCCUUAAAGCCGGUCUCAAUUGGGAUUGUAGUCUGCAACUCGACUACAUGAACCUGGAAUCGCUAGUAAUCGCGAAUCAGCAGGUCGCGGUGAAUACGUUCCCGGGCCUUGUACACACCGCCCGUCACACCACGAAAGUCGGUGGCAUUCAAAGCCGGUGAGCUAACCCGUAAGGGAGGCAGCUGUCUAAAAUGAAACCGAUGAUUGGGGUGAAGUCGUAACAAGGUAACC
rnacentral:rRNA from 1 species